rnacentral:tRNA from 1 species
GGGCGACUAGCUCAGUGGUUAGAGCGCUUGACUCACAUUCAAGAGGUCACAGGUUCAAAUCCUGUGUCGCCCACCA